rnacentral:lncRNA from 1 species
AUCCCAGAUUCCAUUGCUUACAGAGGCACUUCAGGACCAAAGGCAUGUGAUUUUUUUUUUCUCAAUGAAAAAAAUAGUUUUUCAUAAGUUAAUGUUUUUCCUUCGAGACCUGGGCGCCUUUUCCUUAUCCAGCCUCUGCUUGUGGGGCUAAUUAGAUUUGAAGGGUAAAAUAAUACCAGACGCACGGUUGCGUGUGUUACAUGAGAAAUGUAUUAGCGGGAGCCAGAGGUUCUAAGAAGUGGAGCCCAGCGUGGGCCAGCCUGACAAGAAGAGGGGCGUCAUUGUGAAGACACCAGGCUGUUUCCCAGAACCAGAAACAAACGUGGCUGUGUAUGAUG